rnacentral:rRNA from 1 species
GACGAACGCUGGCGGCGUGCUUAACACAUGCAAGUCGUACGGUAAGGCCCUUUCGGGGGUACACGAGUGGCGAACGGGUGAGUAACACGUGAGUAACCUGCCCACAACUUUGGGAUAACGCUAGGAAACUGGUGCUAAUACUGGAUAUGUGCUCCUGCUGCAUGGUGGGGGUUGGAAAGCUCCGGCGGUUGUGGAUGGACUCGCGGCCUAUCAGCUUGUUGGUGGGGUAGUGGCCUACCAAGGCGGCGACAGGUAGCCGGCCUGAGAGGGUGACCGGCCACAUUGGGACCGAGGUACGGCCCAGACGCCGACGGGAGGCAGCAGUGGGGAAUAUUGCACAAUGGGCGCAAGCCGGGUGCAGCAACGCCGCGGGCGGGAUGACGGCCUUCGGGUUGUAAACCGGUUUCAGCAGGGACGCAGCUUUUUGUGACGGUACCUACAGAAGAAGCACCGGCUAACUACGUG